CCCCCCAGCUAGCUCUCUGCAACUCUCACAUGGUCGCCCACUGAAGCUAAGCAGGGCUGUGCCUGGUCAGUACCUGGAUGGGAGACCACAUAAGAAAGUUACUGUAGGUUGCUGCCGGAA
rnacentral:rRNA from 1 species